UUACUCUCUCACUCAAAUCAAACCAUCGGACUGCCGAGCCUCACCCAAGCACUCUCUACCUCAUUCUCCCUCACUCUCGUCUCCGUACCCUCGCCGCUCGGAUUGCCGAGCCACCAUCGUCCUCCCCACUGCCGGUCCAACAGUCCCCCGACAACCUAAUUCUCCCUUACUCCCUCCCUCACUCUCCCUCACACUCCGUCGGCCUUGCCUUCUGCCGCCGACACCACCACCUCCAACAACACAGCCACCGCGGCCAUCCUCGGACUCCUUCCCUCCCUCAGCCGCCUGACACACCCCUGACGGUGUAGAAAAAAGUUUUAAACACCCAAAAGUGGCAAGAUCACCAUCACGCAAUUGCUGCAGAAAAGCUGCCAGACUUAAAUCCUUUUGUUGAUAAUUUUGUAGGUUGAUUUUCAAACCACAUGCUCAUAUCUUUUGAUUUUCAUGAUGGAAAUGAUGGACUGUAUGUAAUUUAAAGUCUUUGGUGUUAUCUUUAAUGUGAGUUACUAAAUUCAAUUGUGGAUUAGUGAAACUAAAUAAUAUGAUUCUUAUUCUGUUAAGUGGACAUUUUCAUGUGGUGGGUCUUUGUUAUUGUCAAGGAAGCUAAUAGUAGGUAGACAUG